UGGGGAAUUUUGGACAAUGGGCGAAAGCCUGAUCCAGCAAUGCCGCGUGUGUGAAGAAGGCCUUCGGGUUGUAAAGCACUUUUGUCCGGAAAGAAAUCCUUGGCUCUAAUACAGUCGGGGGAUGACGGUACCGGAAGAAUAAGCACCGGCUAACUACGUGCCAGCAGCCGCGGUAAUACGUAGGGUGCAAGCGUUAAUCGGAAUUACUGGGCGUAAAGCGUGCGCAGGUGGUUUGCUAAGACCGAUGUGAAAUCCCCGGGCUCAACCUGGGAACUGCAUUGGUGACUGGCAGGCUAGAGUAUGGCAGAGGGGGGUAGAAUUCCACGUGUAGCAGUGAAAUGCGUAGAGAUGUGGAGGAAUACCGAUGGCGAAGGCAGCCCCCUGGGCCAAUACUGACGCUCAUGCACGAAAGCGUGGGGGAGCAAAACAGGAUUAGAUACCCUGGUAGUCCACGCCCUAAACGAUGUCAACUAGUUGUUGGGGAUUCAUUUCCUUAGUAACGUAGCUAACGCGUGAAGUUGACCGCCUGGGGAGUACGGUCGCAAGAUUAAAACUCAAAUGAAUUGACGGGGUCAUAGCUGUUUCCU
rnacentral:rRNA from 1 species